GCACCGGUAGCUUAAUUGGAUAGAGCACCCGGCUACGGACCGGGAGGUUGGAGGUUCGAGUCCUUUCCGGUGCA
rnacentral:tRNA from 1 species